GGCGGACGGGUGAGUAAUGCCUAGGAAUCUGCCUGGUAGUGGGGGACAACGUUUCGAAAGGAACGCUAAUACCGCAUACGUCCUACGGGAGAAAGUGGGGGAUCUUCGGACCUCACGCUAUCAGAUGAGCCUAGGUCGGAUUAGCUAGUUGGUGAGGUAAUGGCUCACCAAGGCGACGAUCCGUAACUGGUCUGAGAGGAUGAUCAGUCACACUGGAACUGAGACACGGUCCAGACUCCUACGGGAGGCAGCAGUGGGGAAUAUUGGACAAUGGGCGAAAGCCUGAUCCAGCCAUGCCGCGUGUGUGAAGAAGGUCUUCGGAUUGUAAAGCACUUUAAGUUGGGAGGAAGGGUUGUAACCUAAUACGUUGCAAUUUUGACGUUACCGACAGAAUAAGCACCGGCUAACUCUGUGCCAGCAGCCGCGGUAAUACAGAGGGUGCAAGCGUUAAUCGGAAUUACUGGGCGUAAAGCGCGCGUAGGUGGUUUGUUAAGUUGGAUGUGAAAGCCCCGGGCUCAACCUGGGAACUGCAUCCAAAACUGGCAAGCUAGAGUACGGUAGAGGGUGGUGGAAUUUCCUGUGUAGCGGUGAAAUGCGUAGAUAUAGGAAGGAACACCAGUGGCGAAGGCGACCACCUGGACUGAUACUGACACUGAGGUGCGAAAGCGUGGGGAGCAAACAGGAUUAGAUACCCUGGUAGUCCACGCCGUAAACGAUGUCAACUAGCCGUUGGAAUCCUUGAGAUUUUAGUGGCGCAGCUAACGCAUUAAGUUGACCGCC
rnacentral:rRNA from 2 species